rnacentral:rRNA from 1 species
AUGAGGGUGCAAGAUGGGCUAACCAACGACAACUGGAUUCGUGCGGUGGCCAGCCUCCAGACCCUACACCAGCUGGGAGAAUUUGACACCCUAUGGGAGUGUGUCAAUCAGACUUCCCUUCUACCGAUCCAAGAGGAUGGCAUUUCUUGGAACCUGACCGCUAAUGGAGCUUACGCUUUGGCAUCGGCCUACGCGACACAAUUCUUCGGCUCCCAUCUGAGGUUUGACUAUUCCAAGGCCUGGUUUGCCCAUGUAGAGCGUAAGUGCAAAUUCUUCGUGUGGGUUCUCCUACAUGGAAGAAUCCUCACCGCUGACAGGCUGGCUCUGAGGGGUUGGCCGCACGACCCGAGAUGCCAACUAUGCUUUCAGGAGCCUAAAAUGGCAGCCCACCUUUGCAAGGAUUAUCCCUUCUCGGUCGCGGUCUAG